rnacentral:rRNA from 1 species
UACGUAGGGACCAAGCGUUGUUCGGAUUUACUGGGCGUAAAGGGCGCGUAGGCGGCUUAACAAGUCACUUGUGAAAUCUCCGGGCUUAACUCGGAACGGCCAAGUGAAACUGUCAAGCUAGAGUGCAGAAGGGGCAAUCGGAAUUCUUGGUGUAGCGGUGAAAUGCGUAGAUAUCAGGAGGAACACCGAUUGCGAAGGCAGCUCGCUGGAACGUUACUGACGCUGAGACGCGAAAGCGUGGGGAGCAAACAGG